rnacentral:lncRNA from 1 species
UGAAACAAACUGAAAUCGCAGCUGCAGCACACGAUCCUCGCCCGAUGACAAAUGGCCACAUGCAACACUCGCCUCCACACGUACUAUGUACAGGGAGGAGGGAGGAGUAGCUGGUGCUGUCGCUGUUGCUGUUCCUGUCGGAGGAGGACUAGGGAGAGGCGGCUGUGGGCCAUGUCUUGGCGGCAUCACGCAUCAAGUUGCGAUUUUCGCAAUAAAUCUAAAUUAGCCAACUCAAAAGCGGCUGGUUCCUGGUUUCCAGCACUAUUACGAUCACCCCUGCUAUACUCUCUCCAGCUGAUCCUCCUCCACUGCCACUUGGCCAAUCAAUUAGGGUCCAGAAGAAGCUAAUUUUCCAAACCGAUCUGCGGGACUGUGAGAAAUGUUUUUGUUGCUGUUGGAAUUUCCAUUGUUGCUGGCUUUUUGUUGCUUGUUGGUGGAUUUCAACGCUCGCAUAAAUCAUAGAACCUUUUUAAACACGACUUUGAACGUAUGAUUUCAACACAAAUUUGUAAAUAAAUUAGAUCGUGAUUAUGGCCAACAUCAAUAUCUAUCUUCAACGUCAUCGGCAUCUCCC